UUAAUUGAAACCAAAUAGAGGUAUAUCACUGUUAAUGAUAAAAUUGAAAUUAUUUAAUUAUUUCCAAUUAAG
rnacentral:tRNA from 1 species